CGGGGGGUAAGCUGUAAAUUCCCUCCCCCCGCCUCCCUAUCAAUGCCAGGAAAAGUGAAAUUUAGGAAUUGAUCUUUGAAACACCGAACAACUUUCACAAUGGCAACAACAACAGAGGGAUAAAGGCAGCUUCUUAAAAGGGAAACCCGCUCAAUCCGGCCUCUGAACGGGAGUUGGAACUAGAUCCCACGCCCUCAAGUUGCCAGCCCUUCCUAAAUUGCAUCCGUCUAAUCGUUUCCUCUUUUAAAAAAGGAAAAACCCACGCUGAGAUCCGAAUUGGGAGGGUUCGCUUCCCAAGUCAGCCCUGCCCGCCCCUCGAGACAUGAUUUCUACCUAUAUCAAGCCUGGAUCAGCUGAACGCCGAGCUACUUUAGUUCCGUGGCCCCAAAGGCCGAAAUGCUCUUGCGAUGCCUUUCUCUCUCUCCCUCUAUUUCUCCUCCCCGCCCGCUAAGUUUUAAAUUGGAUUAAGCGAGGACUGGCAAUGACCUGGAAGUGCCUCUUCUGCAUAUUUUGGCUCAGAGAAGGCACUUCGUCUGACUAGGGUUAUCUAUUAAUCCUUUUAUUCUCUUCGGAAUGACAUUUUAAUUCCUCUCCAAAAGAACACUCCCUCGGUCACUCAAGCUCUUUACCUGUCCGCCUUCGGGACUCCGGUCAAAAAGAUGGUAUGGCUUUUGGGUUGCCGCCCGCCCCCCCGCUUUCUGGACUCACCUUCAUUUUUUAAAAUCUCUGUUUCGACUUGCAAUGGCCAGAGGAACAAGUCCCUCCGGGUCCGCUCCAGAAAGCGGCCGAUUAAGGGAAGAGUAGCAAAGAAGGUGGAAUCUGGAGGAAAUCGGGGUUUAAAUCCUGAAGGAGACGGACAAACCCGCAAAGGAGCUUGCUAGGGACUCCCGAAGCGGCGUCUUGAAAAAAAUGGAAGGAAAAAAAAAAGCAAAAAGCAAUCCUCCUAAGCUUCUCUCGGGCGACCCAGGGCCGUUCAUUAAAUUGGAAGCGGAGAAGUCCACUUGGUUGAACCUUCCUCGGUGACAGCUCUCCGCAAGGAGGACCGGCUGAAGGGUCGUCCCCGGAUGUCACAUUGCCGACCGCGGCUGGAAAGCGUCGGGGAGAAAAGCUGGAGCUUCGGAUCUAACCGAGGUUUCAAAUUCUUAUUUGGGCAAGGGGAAAAAAAAAGAGGGCGGAAAUCCACCAACUUCCAGGUAAAACUCCCGUCUGCGCCUGCAGCGCCACUGCCGCCGCCGCCGCCGCCGCGGGAAGAGGUGGGUGAGCGAGCUACCGACCGACCGAGAGCGCAGCUACGGAGGGUGUAAACUUUUCUCUCCCCUCCCCUGGCGUCUCUUCAGAGCAGCCCAGUCUGCGCGGGUGUCCUUCCUUUUUCACCUUCCUUCUGCCUCCGCCGCCGUUUUUUUUCUCCCCCCCCCUCCUCCCCGCUUCCCAGGAUUUUUCUCUCACACUCUGCCGCUGGAGCUGGAGCUGGGUCCCGGUUUGCGGGGCUGCUGGAAGAAGCGGGAGGAGGAGGAGGAGGAGAGAGAGGACGAGCGGGAGGGGCAGCCAGCGCUCUCUCUAUCCCCCCCACUUCUCUCCAGGCGUGUCUCGCGGCGAGCGGCGGACGCUCAGAGCCAACGAGAUGGCCUCUCCGCCUCCUUCUUCCCGCCCAUCGGGCUCGAACGGGAAGGGAGAGAGGGAGGCGAGCGCCACACGGACUGCUCGCCACCGGCUUUCCUGUCCAGUGUCUGGCUCAGGCUGAGCGGCUCGGGCUUGGUUUUGCGCACAGGCGGAGAAGGGAGGGAGGGAAACCCAGGAAUCUUCCAGGCCACAGAGCGGACCGAGUCGACUCCCCCCGCCCCCCGUCGUAAGCUGGUGUGGGGAAACGCUGCCGCUACUAGAGAGGCGAAAAGGUGGCUGUCCGCGGCCUUUGCUCUUGGUAACUUCUAUGUGGCCGCUACUUCCCUCCAGCUGCUGCUUUCCCUCCACCUUUGCUCCACUCAGCGACGCACACAACAGGUUUUUGUUUCCUUUUCAACCCUCCUCCUCCCUGCCCGUGUCUAUACACGUGCCGGCUGGAGGUAAAAAAAAAAAGAAAGGAGACGCGGCUCAUAGGCAAAGUUUCUAAAGGCUGCUUUUAGGACCCGGCGCGGAAGAAAUUCGCAGGGCUUAAGUUCUAAAAGAUCCAAGGAGAGGAAUGGUUUUGGUGCCAACCUGUGUUUUUAAGAGUUCGGUUAGAGAAAGUGCGUUUUAUGAGUUGAACUUGAGGUAAAAAAGAGGGAGAGGGAAUAAAGAGGAGGGGUACUGAAAGGGAGGGACAAGGAUAGGAGCCAUCCCUCCCUUAAAACAUUUUUCUCCCAUUUAUGAACGCUUCAAGUUAACAGCUGCUUCUCUUAAAAAGGCAAUGAUGCUUCUCUGUUACCCCAUGUAAAAAUCAGUUUUGUCUUAACUGAUAAUGAGGUCUUUCUUUCCAAAUCCGUUGGACUAAAAAACCUCCAAGGUCCCUUCCAAAUCUGUUAUUCAGUGGUUAUUCUAAUUAUUUGGAAUAUGGUUCCUUAUAUUCUAAUUAUAAGAUGCAUGUAAAUAGCCAAGUGUGUUUGAUGUUCCUCAGAAGUGCAGUUAUUCAUGUUUCUGUUAGGGAACAGUACCACAGGUCGAGUGCAUGACAGCAUGAGUGGAAUUGAGACUUCUUUUCCAUUAUUUUUUUAUAUGAAGUACUUCCAUAUACAGGUCAUCCUCAUUUAGCGGCUGUCUUGGAUAGCAACCAUUCACAAUGAGGAUGCUGAUGGAAAAAAAAGUAACCAAUCCUCACCUUUAAGACCUUCACAGGUUUAUAAAACAAAGGAAAGCCGAAGAUAGCAAGCAUAGUCACAGUUUCACUUAGAGAUCAGUCUUCUUAACAUCUGAGUUGCUGUUCUAAUUGCAGUCACUAAAUAAGGAUUAUUGUACCCUUUCAAAUCACAGCAUCGAUAAAAUAAAAAGGAGGGUGUUGGUGAAAAAAAUUUGAGACUCUUCCUUGAAUUCAAAGAAUGGAUACAAAUACAUUCUUAUAAUUAAUAAUUAUAAUUAAUAAUUAUAAGAACUGUUGGGAAUUCUCAACCACUGUUUAGGAAUAUUUUAAUUGCAGGGAUUGGGAAUUCUCAGCCACUGGUUAGGAAUAUUUUAAUUGCAGAGGUAUUAUUUAAAUCAAGCAAUUACUGUUAAUCAGCUGGUAAGGUAGGAUGAGCAGCAGGAAGUGAGGCAGGAGUGAAUUCAGAGAUAGCUUUCUUCAUCAGUGUUGCCUUUGAUCUUGAUGUCUAAGUGGUGGGGGCAGUGCUCCUGGGUUGGCAUUGCUAGGAAGAUUGGAGAGUUGCCUUUGUAGUGUCCUACUAAUGGAAAAAAAAAUCGUCUAGAUCAGUGUUUCCCAACCAUGGUAACUUCACGAUGUGUGUGGACUUCAACUCUCAGAGUUAGCAUGCCAUCCAAAUUCUGGGAGUUGAACUCCACUCCUGAGAACACUGAUCAAGAUAACACUUCUGGUUGACUGAGUUUCGGGUCAUACUAGAACACAGGUGUCAAACUUGCGAUGUCACCUUGCCGUCACAUGAUGUUUCAUGAUGUUUUUUCCAUUCACGGAGCUGGGAUGGGCGUGGCCUGCGUGUACCGCAUCCGGCCCAUGGGCCACCAGUUUAACAUCCCUGACUAGAAGAUACCAGGUUGAAAAAAAAAUGCCAUUUUUAAAAAGUAUAUUAUAAAAGCACAGUACAUGUUCCCAAGAUGCCAUGUUUUUUUCAGGCUUUAGCAAUGCUGUCAGGCUCUAAUGUAUACAUUGUGAGCAGAACUGCUAAGUUUAUAGUUAAGGCCUUUGAGCUAAGAACUCGUUAUAUCAAACAGAUUGGGAUUCUUGUAAGGUGAUGUAUUUAUCUGAAUGCUGAUUCUUUUUUAUUUACCACAUUAAUUUUUAUUAAUUUAUGUAUUUUAUUACUGAAUUUUCUUUUAUUUAUUUUACUCUGGAAUGAUAUCCUAUAUUUUAUUUUUAUUUUAUCUGUUGAUGUGAUUGUAAGACUGAUCACUUAAUAAACUAC